UGAGGAAUAUUGGUCAAUGGGCGAGAGCCUGAACCAGCCAAGUAGCGUGCAGGACGACGGCCCUAUGGGUUGUAAACUGCUUUUAUAAGGGAAUAAAGUGAGUCUCGUGAGACUUUUUGCAUGUACCUUAUGAAUAAGGACCGGCUAAUUCCGUGCCAGCAGCCGCGGUAAUACGGAAGGUCCGGGCGUUAUCCGGAUUUAUUGGGUUUAAAGGGUGCGUAGGCGGACCGUUAAGUCAGUGGUAAAAUUGAGAGGCUCAACCUCUUCCGGCCAUUGAAACUGGCGGACUUGAGUGAGCGAGAAGUAUGCGGAAUGCGUGGUGUAGCGGUGAAAUGCAUAGAUAUCACGCAGAACUCCGAUUGCGAAGGCAGCAUACCGGCGCUCAACUGACGCUGAGGCACGAAAGCGUGGGGAUCAAACAGGAUUAGAUACCCUGGUAGU
rnacentral:rRNA from 1 species